AUGCUGGCACCCCUGGGGCCCCACCGUCAGCCUGCAGCACCUCUGCCCAGCAGGCUGUGGGGGAGGGAGCUGUGUGGCUCUGCUCGGCUGGCCUUAAGGUCCCUUGUGUUCAAGGGGUUCCCCCCGGAGCAGGAAACAAAAGAGGUGGGGGCAGGCUGGGAAACGGGCUGCCCUGGACUUGCGGGUGGGGUGGGGGUGCUUCCCUGGCCCCCUGCUGGGGGGCCUUCCCCGCCUGCCCCUCGGCCUCCAGGACCGGCUGGGUGUGCUGCAUCCCCUACUCCACCAGAAAGAAAGCCAAGGAGAGCGCGUAGCUGCGAGAGAAGGUACAGGGUCUCCACUUCAGUCUCCUGGGGUCGGCCAGACCCGGGAGGGGCCCAGAGAGACACCGCACGAACCUCUCUCCCCACCCCAUGUGGGGAUGGAUUUGGCUACACCAGACAUAGCCUGGCAGCUGACUUUCUGCCCCAGGCACUGUUUCAGAGGCUCUGUGACCACCACACGUGACCCCCACGGCUCGGAAGCGAUGACGCCAUCUCUUAAAAAGACCCAAUAAAGAGGGAUGGAGGAUGUACUCCCUCUCGAGGCCGAGGGCUGUCCCUUCUUUUCAUACCUCUCAUCCCACGAAAUGUAAAUUAGGGAAGGGAGGCAGCUCAGGACCGGCCUGUGUGCACGUGCACACAUAGCACACGUGACGCGCGGUCCACAUGCCCAUGCACGGCCACACAGGAGCAUGCAGGAGGACAUGGGCAGGGGCCAAGCAGCAUCUCUGAGACCGGAGGUCAGAGGACACAGGUGAAACCCUCGAAGGCCACCAUGGGCAUCAGCUCAGUUCUCCCCCCGCGGCCACCACUGCCCAAAGGGAGAACCGGCCCAAGAAGCUGGCCGGGGGCGGGGUGCUGCCCAGCUGUCGGAACCGAGCAUAGACGAGGCAACUCUGCUGACCACUCAUGGUGUGCUGGGCACAGGACUGACCCCAUGGCCCCCCAGAAUCUGGGUCUGCUGCUUGUCCCCUGGAGACGGAAGCAUCACGGUAGUGACAGGGAUGGAGUAGACACAGGUAGCUGUCGAAGUCCCCAUAAGGGACCACAGGUGAGAGGGAAACCCAGGGGAGGCUGGGAGAUCACUGUAAGUUAAUAACUGCUCAAGAAAGCCAUCAGAACAAGGCAGGCUGCUUGACUGGUGGAAGUUCGAGAAUUGCCUCAGGUCUUUGGGUGCGGGAUGGGGUGAGGUCUGCAUUCAGGUUCAGAAGAGAAAGGAAGAGGCAGGCUUUCCCCACCCCCACUCCCCUUGGAGGAUAAAACUGUAGCCCACCUAAUGCUUGGGUAGAGCCUCCUUGCCUGCCCGCUUGCAUCUCUCACCAGCGUCCUAUCUUAAUAAAUCUAUUUCUUGCCUAUCCCUUUGUCUCUCGCUGAGUUCCUUCUGCACGGAGGCAUAAAGAACCUGAACUUCAGUGAGUCCAGACACCAGGGGAGUGAGUGUAAUUUAAAACCAUGGGUUCAAGUCCCAAUCUGGCUUUAGGGUGCGUUUGAGUCCCGGUCUGGGUUCAGGGCAUUGGUGCUGUCAGUUUCACCAGUGCCCCGUCCCAGCCCUCAGCUUUGGCACCUGGCCACCGAGAAAGGCACCAAGAGAAGCAGCCGGAGGAGGCCCUCUGGGCCUGAGUCGUUCUGGCUCUGCUGCACCGGGCCCUCCGCCACAGGCCAGGGGUGACUGGCCCUGUGGCCCUGGGCAGUCCCCUGCCACCACAUGCAGCUGGCCCCUUUCAGAGCGGCCCGUCUGGCCACAGAGGGCCCAGAGCAGGAAGGCACCCACGUGCAUUCAACCUGGCUGGCGUGGUAGUGACCUUCCACUAAUGUGUAAACCCUCUGAAAUAAGAUGAACCUCCUGUUUCUUCUGGGGUGUCUGUGGGGAGCCAGUCCUGGCGGCCCUGUGGAAACCGGGGGGGGGGUGGCCCUGAAACCCCAUUCUGGCCCCCUAGGCCUGUGAGGUCUUCGGCGGAAGCGCCUUUGCAAGGGCCCUACCCGUGCAGCACGGCCGCGGGGCUCAACCUUCCCACCAGCGUGCACACCAGUCCCAAGCGUGAGGAGGACAGACGCGGGCCUUGCGGGUUGAAAACGAGCAGACCACCUUGAGGAAAUCUGUUUAUUCGAGAGCAGGGAGGACCGGUAGCUCACUGCUGCGGCUGAUACGCCCACCUCAGAGCAGGAGGGAAGCCAGAGUAUCCAGCCCAGGCCGCUGUGCCCUCCCCGGCCUUGCCCAGAGGCACCGACCUCAGGGUCCAUACUCAGCCGGCAGGGGCACAGUCGCAGGCUCCAGGUUUGCCGCAGCCGCCUCCUCCCUGCUGACCCCAGACCUACUCCGACACAGCAGCGGGGAGCAGACAGCCCCCAGCCAGAGCCUCGGCACCUCUCACCCUGCAAACAGGCAUUGCCUCCAACUUGUCCCCAGACCCAACAUGCAUUUUCCUCGGGAGUAAUGUGGGAACUAGUAAAGCACAUUUAACUCGUCAUCGCCUUACCCUCAGAUUUCCACGGUCAGAAUUUUCACCAAUUUCUCUCGAGUGUCGCCUUAGUCUCUCCGUAUAUACCGAGAAACCUACAUAGAGAUAGGUAAAUAGAGCUUUUUUGCAAAAUUCACACCGCAUUGCCCCGGUUUGAUUGUUUUGUUUUUAAUGUCUUAAGCCCUUUCCCCAGGAUGGUCCAUAAAUGUUUGCUGAAGGCCUACCACGAGCGAGCGGGGCAUUGUCCAGGUGCUGGGGACAUGGGGAUGGUUGAGCAAAGCCUGGCCUUCAUUCCCUGGGGGCGGGGGACAGCGUGGACACCGGGCGCACCCUGAUUUAUCUGCAGUAGCCCCGCAAAAUGAGCUGCUUCCCUCUGGAAAGGGAUGCCGGGGCAAGGCACAACUGCUCAAGCGCGCAGAUUGGCCCCGGCCGUGGAAUGACGGUGGACCCCGGCGGGGAAGGCGUGGAGGAGACGGACCCACAGUGGCAGACACCUCAAGGGCGGAGGAACUGUCCUGAGCCGUUUUGCACGUUUUCCUUCACUAAUUCUGCAAGGUGGGCCCUACCGGCUUCCCGCGUUGCCGCAGGAACGCGGGGGGUCGUGCGGGGGAGGGGCGGGAGG
rnacentral:lncRNA from 1 species